rnacentral:rRNA from 1 species
UACGUAGGGGGCAAGCGUUGUCCGGAAUCAUUGGGCGUAAAGAGCGUGUAGGCGGUCCAGUAAGUCCGCUGUGAAAGUCAAGGGCUCAACCCUUGAAAGCCGGUGGAUACUGCUGGACUAGAGUUCGGAAGAGGCGAGUGGAAUUCCCGGUGUAGCGGUGAAAUGCGCAGAUAUCGGGAGGAACACCUAUGGCGAAGGCAGCUCGCUGGGACGUUACUGACGCUGAGACGCGAAAGCGUGGGGAGCAAACAGG